GCUCUUCUAAAAAUUUACACAGAAAAUUCUCUCCCCCUUCUCUUUCAAACUGAGCGGACCAGCUAGGGCUCCGCUGCCGCGGCCGCCGAAGUUCCGGCGAGGAGCGCCGGCCUCGCCCACCUUAGUUCCUCCGCCUGAAACCCUAGGGCCCAGAUCUAGACUCUACCCUCUCCGACCUAAAAUUCUAACUUCCUUCCAAAUCGGAAUCCUCACUGCCUAAGUUGAUGCCGCCACCGGCGAGCAGCUUUUGCUACCGAUUCUGGCGCCGCAUCUACUUUGUCGGACCCUCUCUCUCGAUUCACCUUUCUCAAUCAAAGAAAUCGACUGAAACAGGAAAGAGAAGGAAGCCCUAAUUUCUCCCUCUAGAGAUUCUGCCGCCGUGGCGACCUUGAAAUUCCGGCGAGGCCGAGGCUAGUCAUGGCCUCUGUCCUCCCAUUUCCUUCUUUGACCUCAGUUUUCAAGUCGCUCUCCAAAGAGCAGCUCGGCCAAGCCAGCCACCUCUGCAAUGAAGACGGUCGUUCUAUCCUCCACGUCGCCGUUUUCUCCUCGUACAUGUUAUGAGUUCAGAGUGUAGGUUGCUGUGUAGUGUUAUAAGAAUGAGUUCGUGAAUCCUUUCAUCUGAUUGAAAAAGUUCAAAUAGAUCAAUUUAUCUACUCUGGUGGCACUUUGUCAGAUCUUUUUUCCUUAACCGUGUUUUUUUUCGAAUUUUUACAUCUAUUUUCUUACACCUAUGGUCUUGAGCGAAUCAUUAUGUUGCUUCAGGUCCCUCAUGUGCAAUCAGUUAUUCUCUUGUGUAUUGUGACCCCUAACAUUCUUCCAUGAAGCUUCUGUUAAUCCUCUGCAGGGAGUUGAUCACUUCAAGAAAAUUCGAUAUGCUGAUGGGAUAACAUAUGGAGAGCUUUUUCUGGAAAACGAGUAAAUAAGCUGUUUCACCCUUUUCCUGAUAUUUGCUGGUUAAUCUACUCCUGUCCAUAUCAUUUAUUUAUUUAUAACAUUAGACCACCGUAUGGGAUUGAGUGUUUCUAUAAUUCAUGUUAUUAUCUACAGUUUGGCAUAUAAAUAGAGAAUCUUCACUUGAUUGUGAUAUCAUCUUUAAUGAUUAUAAACUUUUGUAUAUUAUGCUUGUUUAUUUUUUAUGAUUGAUUUUCUUUCUUGUCACUUGUCCUUUUAGAGUUCUAUUUGCCUAUUGUCCUCAGACUACUUGCUCUUAUUUGUUUAUAGUUUUUUUAGUUUACACUAAUUGUUAUUGUCAAUUGAUAUAUUGUAAUUGUUAUCCUUGUUUAUCCUGUGACAGGGCUGAUGGUCACGACUGCAUUUCUUGUGAUAUAGUUUUAAGGGAGGUGACUUUCUUAGGAAAGAUGGUAAAUGUGGGGAAAGUAUAUAUGAUGGAAAGUUUCCAGGUAUGAAACUAUUCUUUGGUUUCACCUUUUAUUUUUAUAGUUUAUCAUCUCAUGAGAACUGAUCAUACUUGGAAUAAGCCAUGUAUAUCUGACACUUUUGAUAUUAAUAUUUGCAUCUACUAGUUCAGAGAGACAGGCAUAACACUUGCACAUGUUUUUCUUUUAUCAACUUCUUUUUGUCUUGAGAACAUAUGGAUUUCCUUUC